rnacentral:rRNA from 1 species
GACGAACGCUGGCGGUGUGCUUAACACAUGCAAGUGGAGCGACGAACCAGGGCUUGCCCUGGGGCAGAGCCGCGAACGGGUGAGUAACACGUGGGUAACGUACCCCGAUGACUGGGACAACCCGAGGAAACUCGGGCUAAUACCGGAUAUGUCCGGUCUUCACGAGAAGACCGAGCAAAGGAAGCUUCGGCCUCCGCAUCGGGAGCGGCCCGCGGCCCAUUAGCUAGUUGGUGGGGUAAUGGCCUACCAAGGCUGCGAUGGGUAGCUGGUCUGAGAGGACGAUCAGCCACACUGGGACUGAGACACGGCCCAGACUCCUACGGGAGGCUG